rnacentral:rRNA from 1 species
CAGUAGCCGCGGGAAUACGAGGGGGGCAAGCGUUGUUCGGAAUUAUUGGGCGUAAAGGGUGCGUAGGCGGUUUGAUAAGUCAUCUGUGAAAUCUCUGGGCUCAACCCAGAGUCUGCAGGCGAAACUGUCGGGCUUGAGUAUGGGAGAGGUGAGUGGAAUUUCCGGUGUAGCGGUGAAAUGCGUAGAUAUCGGAAGGAACACCUGUGGCGAAAGCGGCUCACUGGACCAUAACUGACGCUGAUGCACGAAAGCUAGGGGAGCAAACAGGAUUAGAUACCCCCGUAGUCCCUGUCUCUUAUCC